rnacentral:miRNA from 1 species
CUCACUGCCUGCCCUGAGCACACCA